GAUCCUGGCUCAGGAUGAACGCUGGCGGCGUGCUUAACACAUGCAAGUCGAACGAAGCACUUUUACGGAAGUUUUCGGAUGGAAGUGAUGGUGACUGAGUGGCGGACGGGUGAGUAACGCGUGGGUAACCUGCCUCAUACAGGGGGAUAACAGUUAGAAAUGACUGCUAAUACCGCAUAAGCGCACAGUAUCGCAUGGUACAGUGUGAAAAACUCCGGUGGUAUGAGAUGGACCCGCGUCUGAUUAGCUAGUUGGUGAGGUAACGGCCCACCAAGGCGACGAUCAGUAGCCGGCCUGAGAGGGUGAACGGCCACAUUGGGACUGAGACACGGCCCAAACUCCUACGGGAGGCAGCAGUGGGGAAUAUUGGACAAUGGGGGAAACCCUGAUCCAGCGACGCCGCGUGAGUGAAGAAGUAUUUCGGUAUGUAAAGCUCUAUCAGCAGGGAAGAAAAUGACGGUACCUGACUAAGAAGCUCCGGCUAAGUACGUG
rnacentral:rRNA from 1 species